UUNGAUCCUGGCUCAGAUUGAACGCUGGCGGCAGGCCUAACACAUGCAAGUCGAGCGGUAGAGAGAAGCUUGCUUCUCUUGAGAGCGGCGGACGGGUGAGUAAUGCCUAGGAAUCUGCCUGGUAGUGGGGGAUAACGUUCGGAAACGGACGCUAAUACCGCAUACGUCCUACGGGAGAAAGCAGGGGACCUUCGGGCCUUGCGCUAUCAGAUGAGCCUAGGUCGGAUUAGCUAGUUGGUGAGGUAAUGGCUCACCAAGGCGACGAUCCGUAACUGGUCUGAGAGGAUGAUCAGUCACACUGGAACUGAGACACGGUCCAGACUCCUACGGGAGGCAGCAGUGGGGAAUAUUGGACAAUGGGCGAAAGCCUGAUCCAGCCAUGCCGCGUGUGUGAAGAAGGUCUUCGGAUUGUAAAGCACUUUAAGUUGGGAGGAAGGGUUGUAGAUUAAUACUCUGCAAUUUUGACGUUACCGACAGAAUAAGCACCGGCUAACUCUGUGCCAGCAGCCGCGGUAAUACAGAGGGUGCAAGCGUUAAUCGGAAUUACUGGGCGUAAAGCGCGCGUAGGUGGUUUGUUAAGUUGGAUGUGAAAUCCCCGGGCUCAACCUGGGAACUGCAUUCAAAACUGACUGACUAGAGUAUGGUAGAGGGUGGUGGAAUUUCCUGUGUAGCGGUGAAAUGCGUAGAUAUAGGAAGGAACACCAGUGGCGAAGGCGACCACCUGGACUAAU
rnacentral:rRNA from 1 species